UGGAGGAGAGGAACCUUAGGGUCCGACGGAGGAAACCAGUAGUACGAGCUUUCCGCCCAAGGCCAUCUGCUUGGAGUUGCCCGACCGGAUCCAGCCAGAGUUAUCUGUGUAUUCUUUUGUUGGGCAAAGACUCGGUCCUCUUUCCCCACACCUGAAUCCGUGAAAUAAAGGAGCUCAAAAUCAAAUAAGCCUGUGAAUGCUAACAGACCGUUUGAGUGACGGGUACUUGGCUAGGGCAGCUGGAGUCCUCACUGACUGACACACCAGAUCACCUGUUCAGUGCUGCCCAGAGGAGCACCAUCGGGGAUAACAACUUUGUUCCCUUGCCUUUAGCUUCUGAACUUGCAGGCCCGAACCAUUAGCCAUUCUCUUCUGCUCCCGACGUUGCUCUGUGUUGGCUUGCCGCCCAAAGUCAAUCUCUGACUCAGUCCCUCUACAAAGGUAAGCUGUCUUACAUCGGGAACUUACUGCCCAGUUGUCCACUUAAUCACCUUUUGUUGAUGCCAUUGUAUAGUCAACACAGUGAGUGGUCUAGACAUUUGUCGUUGGCUUCGCCUUGUAGACAUUCUUAAUUUGCAUUCAUCAAAUAUAUGAGAGCUUAUUCUGUGCUGGAGAAUGUCCUGAGUAUAUAACAAUUUUUAAGAAUGGAAUGGUCCCUGCCUUCAUGGAGAAAAUAGUCUAGCAGGACAAACAAAUUCAGUAGACAGUUGAAAUCCAGAAUGGUCCUUUAGUUAUGUAUUGCAGCAUAGCAAACUCUCCAAAAUUUAGUGGCUUAAAACAAUCAUUUUAUUAUCUCUUGCAGUUCUGUGAACUGACUGGGCUCAGCUGGGCAAUUCUGCUCAUCUCACUUGGGGUCUGUCAUGAGGUGGCAGUCAGAUGGCAGCUGGGGCUGGAGUCAUAUGAAGGCUCAACUAGGCCUCUUUCUUUCUCCGUGUAGUCCCAGGGCCUCUCCAUCUGGGUAGCUGAACUUCUUAAAUAGUGGCUCAGAGCUUCUAAAAGUACAAAAGCGGAA